rnacentral:rRNA from 1 species
CACGUAGGCGGCUUGGUAUGUCGGGUGUGAAAUCCCCGGGCUCAACCUGGGAACUGCAUCCGAAACUGCCUUGCUCGAGUAUGGGAGAGGGAAGUGGAAUUUCCGGUGUAGCGGUGAAAUGCGUAGAUAUCGGAAGGAACAUCAGUGGCGAAGGCGACUUCCUGGACCAAUACUGACGCUCAGGUGCGAAAGCGUGGGAGCAAACA